UCCACGGGAUGGAGACUUAUGGGCCAGCUGUGCAUUAUCUUAGGUGGAGGUCAAUCAUGAGUCGACCACGACUUCGUAUAUCUCAGAGUUGGGUCUGACUAUUUUAGAUCUUGGGCUUCUUCAUAUUUUCAGUCUGUACAAAUUAUUUUUUAAUAAAAAAUAAAAAAUAAUCGUAAAAUAUUCAUCAAUAUGAAAUAUCAUGUUGGCUA
rnacentral:lncRNA from 1 species